UUUGCAAGAGUCUGGGAUUACCAAGCAGAGGUAAUAAAGCAGAAUCCAUGGACUGAGUUUGAGAUAGAGACAACUGCAGGGGCUGUCAUUGGAGCCAAACAGAGGUUUUUUGGUUAUACAUUUGUUUUAAGGCUCAAAAGGAUUCAUGGAUAAAAACGUGUAGACCUUUCAUAGGACUUGAUGGAGCUUUUCUGAAAUGGGAUAUUAAAGGCCAUCUUCUAGCUGCAGUUGGAAGAGAUGGAGAUAACAAGAUUGUUCCUAUUGCUUGGGCUGUCGUUGAGAUAGAAAAUGAUGACAACUGGGACUGGUUCUUAAGACAUCUAUCUGCAAGUUUGGGGCUUUGUCAAAUGGCUAAUAUAGCUAUCCUCUCUGAUAAACAAUCUGUUAGUUUUUUUAACUUUGUGUCUUUGUUAAAUUGGUUUGUUGUUUUGUUUACUGAUUUUUGG
rnacentral:sRNA from 1 species